rnacentral:rRNA from 1 species
CUUGAUCAAUUAUAAGAGGUCAAGCCUGCCCAGUGACAUUGUUCAACGGCCGCGGUAUCCUAACCGUGCGAAGGUAGCGUAAUCACUUGUCCUUUAAAUAAGGACUAGUAUGAACGGCUUCACGAAGGCUAUACUGUCUCCUUAAUCUAAUCAAUUAAACUAAUCUCCCCGUGAAGAAGCGGGAAUUCGUCUAUAAGACGAGAAGACCCUAUGGAGCUUUAAACAUCUAAGACACUUGAUUAUAUCUACUAAACUUCAUGCAACCUAUCAUUUUGUCUUAAGUUUUAGGUUGGGGUGACCACGGAGAAAAAUUAAACCUCCACGUAGAAAGAAAAUUCUUUUCUAAGCAAAAAGCCACAUCUUAACGCAUCAAUAUAUUGACUUAAAUUGACCCAAUUUCUUGCUCAACGAAC